AAUGAACGCUGGCGGCGCGCCUAAUACAUGCAAGUCGAGCGAGAAGACGUAGCAAUACGUUUGUAAAGCGGCGAACGGGUGAGGAGUACAUGGGUAACCUACCCUCGAGUGGGGAAUAACUAGCCGAAAGGUUAGCUAAUACCGCGUACGCUUCUUGGACUUCGGUUCAGGGAGGAAAGCGAUACCGUGGGUAUCGCGCUCUUGGAUGGGCUCAUGUCCUAUCAGCUUGUUGGUGAGGUAACGGCUCACCAAGGCUUCGACGGGUAGCUGGUCUGAGAGGACGAUCAGCCACACUGGCACUGCGACACGGGCCAGACUCCUACGGAGGCAGCAGUAAGGAAUAUUGCGCAAUGGGCGAAAGCCUGACGCAGCGACGCCGCGUGGGGGAGUGAA
rnacentral:rRNA from 1 species